UCCUUUUUCAAAUAUACAGUCACAUGACAAAAAUUGAGAGAGCCACUUUUCUCCAAAUUAAUAAAAAUAAUAAAAAGAAUCUUAAAAGUUUCUGCUGUCCACCAGUAGGCAAUAGUGAGUCAUGCGAGACCACAAUCAACCGUUUCAGCUGCCCCAGAUGAGGCAGAGAUCCCGCUUCCACCUGCCUGUCAAAUAUUCCAAGCGAUAUGAAGACAAAACCAGACGGCAGUACAAAAAAAAACCCUCCAACAGCUCGACUAAUUUUCUGCCUGCUGGGACACGCCGCCUCUGACUGCGAGGGACAAGAAGAGAAACAUAUCUUCAUUUAUCACUAAGUGCGCUGGAGGACCUGGAGACCUGUUCUACUAGACGCCGAAAUCUUUUGAAUCAUCUAUAAAACUGCUUUAAAACAACCUGUCUAUACAGCAACGAAGGUGCUUUCUGGCAUCAGAUUGUGAUUUAUAGUUCUCAAGUACUGAAAAUACAGUGACACUCCAGAAUUGCUUUCCCCAUGUGAUUUAACUGAUUAGAGGCCCAUUUGCGAGAUCUCCUACCUGAUGGACUUGUAUUUCCACUUUCAGGGCCUCCUGUAAUGUUUGCAAUUCCAUCAUUGAUCCAGUUCACCAGAAAGAGAGUCCCAGGAAACUUUCAGCCUGUCUAGAGAAAUCAAACAAGAGAGGUUUUGCACUUUUUUUUCUAUUUUAUGUAUUUAAGCUUUAUUUUGUGAGAUGCUCAGCGGUUAACUUAAUCCAAUACCACCACGAAGGGGAACACAAGUCGGUAUAUAAUAGGGUUUGAGGGAACAAAUGUAAAUCGCGGCGUGAUUCAUGAUGUCUCAGGUGGUAGUAAACAGACACGCUUUAUUCAGUUCGCAUUCUGCAACUCCGCACUGCAAGAAGCUCUUGUUUAGGUUCAAAAAAGUAUUUUGGCCAAACGGGACAACGAGGAGAAAAAAAAAACUCAAGAGGGUUUUUUGAAAAGCAAUUUUCUGGGAAAACUAGAGUUGGUGGAGGAUCAAAAUUGUUGCAAUCGAGAAGAUGGGCAGGACUGUUUGCAUGACGGACAAAUCAAACAACCUUGAUGCUUAGUGUAACAAUGAGCGAAACGGAGGCAGUGUUACAGACAUUCAUUCACUCUCAUUGAUUUUGGUGUGCGGCCCUGUGCCAAGAGGACAAUUAUAACAGAGGCUAUUAGAGGACUUACCAGCUGGCACUAAGACUGGUGUUCACACGCUCUCUCCAACUCCCUUCACAAGAUGAAACACACACACACUAUUAGAUGGGAGAGAGACACUCCAAUUCCCUCUCUCUCUCUUAUACAGUCUGUGUUAAAAGGGGCAACAUUGCAAGCGCAGCAUUCAGCGGGUUUCUAAUUGCUCAUCCCGUCUAUGAACCCCACGACAAAAAAGUCCUGCAUCCCUGCGCAUCUCCCGGCGUCUUCACAGACCUAAAAAUAUCUUCUCCAAAACCCAAGCAUCGGAUUUGUCCUUUGUGCAGUUCUGCCAAAUGGAGUUCUGAGAUAUUAAGCGAAGCCUGUACUCGCCAGCGAUGACAUCUGUCAUGACCACACGGCAGAUGGGUAUCUCAGGACCUUCAGCCUACAAUGCACAGGAAACGACAUCCUCUCAAAUCGACAAGUGUAUGAGUCACUCUGCCAGUCGUUGAUCAAAUAAAGUCUAUAAUAACACACAACUAAAUAUUAGGAUCACUGGAACUUUAAGAAGAGAUCUGUGUCAGCUUGGGUGCCCACAAAAGUUGGGAAUGAUUAUGAAAACCUAAGCUGAUUAUGUACAUUUUCUUCAUUUUAAAAGCACAUUGUCCAUAUUUAUAAUAUACUAAAUAAUAACAAUUCUUGAAAACUAAUAUUAACUAGUGAAAAAAUAUAAGCUGAGAUGGCUUAGUGGUUAAGCAUCUCUACUACUAACUACCAGAAAACAAUACAAAAUAAUAAUAA